UGACGAGCGGCGGACGGGUGAGUAAUGCUUGGGAACAUGCCUUGAGGUGGGGGACAACAGUUGGAAACGACUGCUAAUACCGCAUAAUGUCUACGGACCAAAGGGGGCUUCGGCUCUCGCCUUUAGAUUGGCCCAAGUGGGAUUAGCUAGUUGGUGAGGUAAUGGCUCACCAAGGCGACGAUCCCUAGCUGGUUUGAGAGGAUGAUCAGCCACACUGGGACUGAGACACGGCCCAGACUCCUACGGGAGGCAGCAGUGGGGAAUAUUGCACAAUGGGCGCAAGCCUGAUGCAGCCAUGCCGCGUGUGUGAAGAAGGCCUUCGGGUUGUAAAGCACUUUCAGUCAGGAGGAAAGCGUGGUGGUUAAUACCCAUCAUGUGUGACGUUACUGACAGAAGAAGCACCGGCUAACUCCGUGCCAGCAGCCGCGGUAAUACGGAGGGUGCGAGCGUUAAUCGGAAUUACUGGGCGUAAAGCGUACGCAGGCGGUUUGUUAAGCGAGAUGUGAAAGCCCCGGGCUCAACCUGGGAACUGCAUUUCGAACUGGCAAACUAGAGUGUGAUAGAGGGUGGUAGAAUUUCAGUGUAGCGGUGAAAUGCGUAGAGAUCUGAAGGAAUACCGAUGGCGAAAGCAGCCACCUGGGUCAACACUGACGCUCAUGUACGAAAGCGUGGGGAGCAAACGGGAUUAGAUACCCA
rnacentral:rRNA from 1 species